rnacentral:lncRNA from 1 species
GGAAAGUUAGGAACAGUCUCUCUGAUAUUUAUCUAUUCACAGUCUCCCAGCUUCGAGGCCGCCGGUAAGUGCCCAACAGCCCAACCGACAGCAACAGCAGCAUCAGCAUCACCGGAAACUUUUUGCUAAUCCACUGCACUUUCUUCUCCCCUACCCACGAUUGUAGUGCCAAUCUCACAGAAUUGGUGCGAGACGCAGAUGCGCAUUUUUCCCGUGUAUCUGCGGUGUUCAUUCAGCUGCAGAGACAGACAAAAGUCGAGGUAUGUAUGUACAAGUAUGUAGGUGAAACGGACUAAUCCGUCGUCGUCUCUCCUGGACGCACACUGACUACAGUAGGUAUUAUAUGUGCAUGUAACUAGAGGACAGUGUUAGGCAUACGCAGAAACAAAAGAAUCGAUAACGAAAGUAAACGAACAGUCAACGGGCUAGGAGGACCUUUUACAGAAAAAACCAUUAGCACCACAAAACCAUAAAACCAAAAGAGAUAAACG